rnacentral:rRNA from 1 species
ACGUAGGGGGCAAGCGUUAUCCGGAUUUACUGGGUGUAAAGGGAGCGUAGACGGCAUGGCAAGCCAGAUGUGAAAGCCCGGGGCUCAACCCCGGGACUGCAUUUGGAACUGUCAGGCUAGAGUGUCGGAGAGGAAAGCGGAAUUCCUAGUGUAGCGGUGAAAUGCGUAGAUAUUAGGAGGAACACCAGUGGCGAAGGCGGCUUUCUGGACGCUGACUGACGUUGAGGCUCGAAAGCGUGGGGAGCACACAG